GAUAAUAAUUAAUAUGGCAAUUGAAAGAAGAAUUUUAUCGGGGCUAGCUGGGACGUUUCGGAAUUCUAAAACAUAUAGAGUAGAUUUUUUACUAACAAGAACUGUAAACACUAUAUUUUUCUAGCGAGGUAACUGCGCAGUCAACAAUUUGCGCAGCUAAACUUUCUCGAAUUCCUGUGUUUACAUUCUGCGUUCCUAUAUGAUCUCACGGCUGCAUAUUGUUUCGCUAGUCUCUUCCUAAGACCGUGGAAGCAAUGGAGAAAAUUGUGUGACGUGCAAGCGAUAAAUGCUCUGACAGCUACAAAACUAACUUGUAUUUGAAUGCAAGUGUAUACCUAUUUAAUUGCUUCAAAUUUAUCUUCCAAGAAAUCACUCACAAUUCUGUUUACAAUCGUACAAAACUAUACAUAAGUAAGAAAAAAGAGAAAUAGUUGAAAGAAGAAUCAAAUAUGGAUGGUAGAAAAACUUACAUGUACAAAAUUUUGAUAAACCGUGAAAUGCCAAAGCAGGUCAAGCGAAACAAAAAAACGAUGGCAAAACUAUAGCAGGAGAAGAAAUAUUUCUCGGAUUACUCCAGAGAAAAUGGUAGCGUUUCUAAGUAUGUACGUCGCAGUGACUGAUCGUUCUCAUUGAUGCGAGAUCUCUCGAGAGAGAGCAAGAAAAGAAAAUUCGUGGCGCGAUCGCGGGAGUAAGCGAAACUACGGAGUUAUAAAGAGUACACCAUCGCGCCAUUCUCCUUGACGUGUCUUAGAAAACAAGCUACGGUUCCAGCGGACACUCAUUCAGUUUUUGUUUCGUUCUCACUGUCUAGUCGCGUUUUCACCUGGGAAGAUAUUACGCGAUCCGACGGUAUUAUGUCGCAUGGUAGAGACGAUAUGAUGAGGUGGAAUGACGAAUUUCGAGAAAGGAAUGCAAUGACCAGGGAAAAGACUUUCGUUCAGUACCAAGAAUCCGUGAAGAAAUACGUAAACACGACAGAUAAUAGUAAUGGGUUAUGUCGACAAUGCUGCCUCGAAAACAGGUUAGAACGAAACGAAUGCGUAUAAUCAGGGUGUAGGUGGAUAAAUGAACGAGCUUACAAUGCAGAAUUAUGCAGAUGAGAGAGGCGCAAUUUCUUCAAGCAUAAUUAAGAAAAACGAAGAGGCGAGGUACGCCGAUGACGUUGCUGCCAUUAAACUUCCUCUCACUAGCAUUCUAUGUAUAAUGAGCUGUUACGCCAUACACACGAUAUUACCGUGGAAUACGCAGGGAGGAAUACAAAUACAAUGUGGUAGAUCGUGCAGGAAGAGCGCGACGAUAAAAAAAAGGAAAAAACAAAAUGUCCUUCGUGAUGGAUCAAUUGAAUGAUUAUCGAUAGCUCUUCAAGCUGAAUGUUAUUACUGGAUCAAAUUCUCUCGAAAUUAUCCUAAACAUUAUAUUGACUUAUUCUCUUUGAACCAAUUUAAUUUUCACCUAAUUCUCGACAAGCAUGCACAUAUUUUCGAUUUCUUUUAACGAUCACAUUUCUGGCUAAUCUCAGGGACAAAAUUGGAAAGAUCCGUAUACGAAUCGCGCAAUCGCUUCACUGAGCCAUCAAAAAAGAUCCGACAAUACAAUCUUCCUACCUGUUGAAUUGUCCGGGAAAUUUCCAGCUGAUGCUUCGAUCACGCACACACAAAAUCACUGCACCAAGAAGUCCGUAAAUCUCAGACGACGCAUCUCUGAGGCGGCGUCAUCGUCGUUCGAGGAAAGAAACAACAAGAUCGUAUGAGUGAUUCCACUCUAGCAAUUGCCGAGACGCAAGAAAAGUAAACGUCUGUCCGCGCGAUCGGUGAACCACGAUGAUUCACUGGAUAGUUGGAAGACGUGACUUUAGGACGUAGCCAUUUCGAUAUUGGGCGGUCAAUUGCGACGAUGCACGAUAAGAUCGUACAAUUUCGACAGGUGGUAGCUAUACACACAAAGAUACCACAACGGUCGAGAAGGAUGCGGCGGGGCCACGUCUCAGACUGACUCCAAGAAGCUCGGCUAGGCUCUGUUCGACUCGACUCACCUCAACUGCCUGGCAUUGCAAAGCAGCCGCGAGCGAAAACUCACUUUACGCUCUCGCACGGCCCCUUACGUUUACCCCCCGCCAUAUUACCGACUGCCUGCUUUCUUAAGGCUGCCUGCGAGUUCGCCUGAAUACCUGCUUCUAUGCCCCUUCUCCUGGUGCAUCGCGGCACUGUACCUUAGGCGCGCGCGGCGCCGCGGCCUGAUGUUUCUUCCUGCGCUCUCUGGCUCCCUCUGACAGGGAGAUUCCAUGACAUUCAGGUCACCAAUUUGUCUCGAAUUCUGUGAACAUGAUUGAGAUAACUAAAAAUGAGUUCGAGUUUUCAAUUGCUCGUUUUAUGUAAGAAUGUAUCUGGGGAAGGACUAAGUAAAUGGACAGAUAUCGUAGUAUAGCAUUAUAUUGGGAAUAUUUUGGUGGUAUUAUUGUGUUUACAUUACAUGUUUGUAAAUAAUCUUAGAAAGAAGAGAAUAGGAUAUAUUUGUACAGUUAUGAA